UCGGGGAGAGGAGACAACGUGGCUCCGAGUGGGGGGGGCUGCGCGGGCCGGGGGAAGAAUACACAGCUCAGGGAGAGAACCCAUACAAUGCAAAACGCAAGUACUCGUUGUUUUUCUGCUUCACUCGAUCCCGGAAGUCGCUGCUGCAACGGCCCCGCGUCUAAAGCUGCUGUUUCCAAGCCUCAUAGUCCUGGUGUUCACCUACACAGCUCCACUAGUGCGACUCAGAAGAGGAGGCGAUAAUCGGGCCUUGCACGGAGGCAGGGUGAUCUAGACAUGAGGUGCAAUGCUGCGUGCAGUGCAGUAAAUCAGAUCUCUUCCUCUUCUACUGUUAGUCACACACACACACACAGAAACUAACUGUAUAACUCCACACACUGCAGAUGCAAACAGAAGGCAUUUGGAGCCUGGGCCUCAGCUUUGAGCUGACAGAAGGUGAUGACACAGUUUAGUGCAUAAUUCCCUAAUCACACUUGACAAUCCACACAGGGAUAUUUUGUUACAGAGGUACAAUGUGGACUGGGUUUUGAAAAGAAUCUGAUGCCAUUGAAAGGUCCUCGGAUGCCAUUGAAAGGUGAAGGAAGCUGGGCCCCUCCUUCUCUUUUUCCUUCAAAAGUUUCAUCAAAGGCAGACUCUUCCAUCAAUGCACCUUCACAAGAAUGUGUGCACCUAUCAUGCUUCUGAUAGGUUUGUGUAGGGUUUUUGAACAGUGCAACAAGCUGAGCUGACAUAAUUACCAUUAGCUUUUCUGAGAAAAGUGAAUUCUAAGCAUCUCUAAAGGUACAUGAGGGCAUUUGGAGUGAGCACGGAGGAGUUACUCAAAAUUUAUGACAAAGCACGUGUCUUCAGACUGUUCUUCAAUCCCGAUGCAUCUGUAGAGCCCCAUAAUAUGAAACUGAAUUAAUUAUUAUAAUAUACUAAGGUCUAACUUCUUAUAAUUGGAGACCUAUUCCCUGAACUUCACUAGAAGAGUAAGGUUACACGGGCUUGAAAUGUCUGAUCAUCUGAUGUGUAGUAAGAACAUGUAAGGUCUCCAAAUGCGCGAGGCUUGCCUGGGGCUCUGCAAGUGUUGUUUCCCUGAUAAAGAAGGUUUUGCACACACUCUAGGGAGGGAAGGUGAUUCACCAUACCAGGUUGAGACCCAGUACACUGCAGUGUAAGCAACUCAUGAAACUCGGUGGCACACUGUAUGCAGAUCCAGGCAUGACUCAUGCACUUAAUAUAGAAUUGCAAGUAGAUAUUUGCAAUAACUGAGCAGAACUUUGACAUCAUAUCUCCCUUUUCUGUGCAGAAGUACCACUCAGGAGCAAUCCUUUGGUUUUCAGCCAAGUGCUCAGUCAGGUACUUCAUCCCAUACAUAUGCUUAAAGCAGGACAGGAGAGUGAUUUAAGCAAGCAAAUAAUUCUAAGCACAAGUUUAAGGUUUUACAUCACCUGCAGUACAUGCUUAGAUGACUUGCUAAAGUGAAGAAUGCCUUUUGUUUUUUGAGUUGGUUUUCCUCCAGCCUGGGGCAUCACAGGUGGUCUUUGCAGAGAACAAUCUUGGACAGAAAUGGGAGAGCCCUGUAAAUUUUCUGUAGCCACCACUAGACUAGAGAGCCCCAUUGUCUGAAUGCAUGGGGCUUCAGGAGUGCUCAGCACGGCUCAGCACCAGUCUGGGAGCAAGAGAGGGGAAGAGAUGAGGACAACAUUCUCACUCCCUAACUUUAGACACAUAAAUUCAGUGCCUGAAUUAGGAGUGUGAUUCCCAGCUGAGCAGUCAUGUACGCUGGGAGACAGACAGGCUCCUCCAUAGUGUGACUCAGAAUAACCUUUGAAUCCUAUAGGUGCUCUGAAGGACCACAGCUAUUAAUUUUAAAGGUAACAUAAAUAAAUAUUCAGAGUACUAUAAUUAUCCUUCCUUGAAGAGUUCCAAAUUUGCUGCUCAAAGUCACAAAGGAAUCUUUACUGUGGUGCUUUCGCUAGAGACCCCAGAUCCUGCAUUUACCGAGCCCCAUACACACUUCCCUGUUGUGUUACAAAGCCAUCAUUACUUACCUGUCUAGACUGUUCUAAGCUCCCUACAGAGUUAUGGCUAUCUUUUGCAUAAUAAGAGUAGUGUUAUUUUUCUAUUAGUGCAACUGCAGAAACACAGAAUUCUUUAGGAAAAUGUACCCCAGCCGUUAAAGGGAUUAGCAAAUCAACAAAUCUCCCUUCCUCCUCUAUCCCUCUCCAAAACAACCUGCAGUACCAAUACUACUGUGAUAAAAAAUCCAAGCUGAAAUUUAGCUUUAACCUCUGUUCUAGCAAAUUCGUGCUGCAGCUUCUUCCUUCUUGCUGCCAGAAGUUGCUAUGUUCUACCAUCAAAGAGACUUUACAUGGAGUCAUGUAAGCAUGUAUGUAUAUUUUUUCUAUAUAAAAGUGAAAGCAAUGAAUUACACUAUCUUCACACAGUCUGAUGCCUGAAACUACUGCUUAAGCAGUGUUUUUAAUAUCUAGAGGUAUUUUCAGAAAAGUUUCAUUCAAGUAUGGUGCACCGCUUUGAGGUAGGGUGUAAGAAAUACAGUGCAAAAGAGAAGAAACUCAUAGCUACAGCUUCUUCCCACAUCCUCGAUUUUCAGUAUAUAACUCACAAACUGUGAAUUAUCAUGAAGGCAGCUGAGCUCCCUGUUGAACUGUGGAACUGAACUUUGCUUUGCCUUCCCAGGUAUUUGUGACGCUCUGCAUCCCACCACCAACAUUACGAAGUAGAGCAGUAAUUUGCCAGGUCUGAUGGAGCUGGCAUAUGGCUCUCCUCUUUGCCUAACAUUUAUAGAUCUGUUUCACAUGAGCACUUUGUGCAUCAGCAUAUGCAAAGCUGCCUGCCCUCAGUUCUAAGCGAGUUUCCUUAUCAGAAUAUAUGGUACUGCAUUAUGCUGCAUGUUUAUGGUUUGAAACAUUGACUUGAUAAUGUGGCUGUAGUCAAACAAAAUGCUACAUGUAACAGCAGCCAAUUCAUUUGUUUUAGGGAAAGAAUACGACAUCAGAAAGAAAGAGAUGUAUGCUUAGCUACAUUUGAUUGGAGGUAGUCAAAUGGCUGAAAUGAUAUAACCAUUAAGAUAUAUUUUCCUGAUAAACACCCACUUUCACAUAUUAUCUAUUUAUUUUUGUCUGGUAUCUUAAUGGAACUUGGAACAUGUUAGACCUAUCUUUUUUUCCAGUAGGCAUUUACUGCUUUGCUGGAAGCAAAAUUCCUGGUUCUUUCUGGUUACAUUAUCCUCACAAACUGCAGUAAGAGAAGAGAGAUUUUUAAUGAGUACUUGAGUAAUUAAAUAGAACAAUAUUUACAGAAAUUAUCUCUAUUAGUGCCUAGUGGGGUUGGAGUUUGAACUUUUUCUGUCUGCAGUUAGAAAUGUUAGCUAGCCAAGCAAUUGAUUCAGAGCAAAAUACACAUUUCUAGAGUUUUCUCUUUCUAAAACGCUGUUGUGAGUGGCAUGUCUCCUUGGAGCACUGGAACUGGACUUCCUGAAAGGAAAGACUAGAUCAAACAGAAAGGUUUUAGGCUCUGGUGGUACUCUGCAUAAAAACAAAGGUGGUGUUGCAUAAAAACAACUGGUUUUUUUCCCUGUAAUUUUUCAGCUAUGACUAUUUUCCGAGCUGAACUAACUCAGAAGACAACUUUCCUUAGGUUUGUAGUGUUUGGAAAACUGCAGUGGCAGAGUCUCUCAGGGACAGCACAGCUCGUCCUGUUGCUCUGAUGCUCACGGAUUUAGGUGUCGCUGUCACCUCUACAGAGUGGUCUGUACAAAGUUACGGAAGAGCUCAAAAGAAAUAACCAGAUGUUUUCCCUUCCCAUGAUUGCGCUCUUUUAAUAAACAGACUAUGUUCUUUCCUAAUUUCUGACACUAAGAUAAUGCAGUGAUAAAUACAAUACUAGACCCAGUAUUUUAUUUGUAAGUUCCCCCUUUCUCUCUUCAAAUAGCUUUCUAUUUACUGAAAACACUUAUGGUUGUUUUCAGAGUGAAGUGUCUUUGGGAGAGGUAAGAAAACUAAAUUUACAAGCUUGGAGCUACAAGACAGGACUGACUAGAAACUCUGCUUGGGUAACUCAAAGCAGAUGAAGCUAGAAAGUUUAAAUACAGCAUACUACUUCAAAACCCAGCCAAACUGAAAGAAAAAACAUUGUUUAGUGUGGAAGGUAAUUUGCUCUAAUGUAGAUUGAGAUUUCUUUUUUUUAAUGCUACUUCAGAAAUCCAUUUUCUAUGUACAAUUACUAAAAGUAUUUCUGUUAUAGAAAUGUAUCUUACUGAAAGCACAGAAAGUGUUGUAAUUAUCUUUAGGGCAUUUGACAAAGCAGAUAUUGUAAUUGAGCAGUGGUUACUUGAGACUCGAGAAGCAAAUAAAUCUGGGUAUGGUCUGUAAGUCCCCAAGAAGUUAAAGCUUUAGAAAGCAGAGUCAUUCAUAUCUGUUUGCUCAAACAUGAUGUCCUUCCAGGGUAACAGUGUGAGAAGGGGGUUCUGUGGGGUGACUGCAUCUUCCUGAUCAUAUCUGGGCAUCAGUGUGGGUUGGAGCAGCACAGGGAACACUCCAAAUUGUGUGUAUGGCUACGCAGUGCCCACAGAGCUCACUCCUCAUCAUAGACCAGCAAACAGCUCCCCCAAAAAGCAGUUCCCCACAACUAUUUCCAGUAUACAAGGAUGUGUAUGGUCUUGUUUCUCUACUGACUUGAAAUGUGAGUAGUUGUGAAAGGGAACAACACAUAUUUCAAGUGGUUCUGCUUUCAUGCAAGGAAGUGGAAGACCUGUGUGUUUAAUUUGACCUCCUGAGCCAUUCUGCUGUACUAUUUCAUCAUAGUGCUUCUGAAUUACAGACACACAUGUGAAUGUG